CCCCUCAUUUGUACUCACUCCAUUCAUUGUUUCAUUAUUCUUUGUGAAUAAGAGAAUAGAGAGCAUUUACUCAAACACUUUGUGUGCGUCCCUUUCUGUUGUUCUUUAUAAGCUUCUUUUGGCAUAAGUUUGCUUCCGCUGUACGAGUUGGUGCCUUGGAGGAGUUCUUAAGGAAUCCUCAUUCGAGUAAAGGCUGACUUGGGCGAGUUUGGACGAGCGAAUCGCCUAAGGCCGCACGGAUUGCGAGACGAAAGGUCUAGCCCCGUGACAAGUGGUACCAGAGCUAGAGUUCGAACCAAGAAGUAUCCGAGCUAUUGGUUCAAAGGCACUGUUGGGAUGUCGAAAGAAGAGUUCGAACAAAUAUGGGCGAGAAAGUCUUUGAGGGAAAUGUUGUCGGCAGUAGAGGUACGCGUAGGUAAACUUGAGGAGUCCAUGGAAGACGUUAAAGAGUCUGACAAUGCUCGUGGGGAAAGCAUUGAAG
rnacentral:lncRNA from 1 species